AUGGCCAUGAAUCCUCUCUCCCAGGAGCACCCCAAUGCAUGGCCAUGGGGCGUGGCCAUGUACACGAACCUGCACUACCAGCAGUACCACUACGAGAAGGAGCACCUGUUUGAGAAGGCCCUCACGCCCAGCGAUGUAGGCAAGCUCAACAGGCUGGUGAUCCCCAAGCAGCACGCCGAGAGGUGCUUCCCUCUUGGCGGCGACUCUGGGGAGAAGGGCCUGCUCCUCUCCUUCGACGACGAGGCCGGCAAGCCAUGGCGGUUCCGGUACUCGUACUGGACGAGCAGCCAGAGCUACGUGCUCACCAAGGGCUGGAGCCGGUACGUCAAGGAGAAGCAUCUGGAAGCCGGCGACGUCGUGCACUUCGAGAGGGUGCGCGGCCUCGGCACCGGCGACCGUCUCUUCAUCGGCUGCAGGCGUCGCGGCGACGUCAGUGCACCAACGGCAGUGGCACCACCGCCUGCCGUGCAUGUCGUGCCAGCGUCUGGUCAGAGUCCCAGGGAGCAGCAGCAGCACCAGCAGCCAUGGAGCCCGAUGUGCUACAGCACAUCCACCUCAUACCCUACUAGCCCGGCCACCUCCCACGCCUACCGUCGCUCAGCAGAGCACGAUCACAGCGACAUGCAUCAUGCAGGAGAAUCCCAGUGGGACGCAGACACCAGGAGCUGCAGCCCAGCCUCGGCACCGACACGCCGGCUCAGGCUGUUCGGCGUGAACCUCGACUGCGCGCCAGAGCCAGAGGCAGAAGCCGUGCCCGCGACGCCGGCGAUGUACGGCUACGUGCACCAGAGCCCCUACGCCGCCGUGUCUCCAGUUCCCAGCAACUGGGGCAGUUCAUGA
rnacentral:rRNA from 1 species